rnacentral:misc_RNA from 1 species
UUGGAAUUCAGUCCGAAUAUAUUCAUUGAACCAAAGAGAGGAUCCAUGUCGGACGUGGUGGCUUGGUUCAGUACAAAGAAGAUAUCAAUUAUGAAGAGACUUCUUCAUGAAUUCAUGAGGAAACAAGCUCUUCACCUGCAGGUGUACACCGAGGAAAUCAGAGUGCAGAGCUCUGGUCUUUAUCUGCCACGGAUACGAAGCCGAGUGCAGCAUAUCCAUCGGAGAUGA